rnacentral:lncRNA from 1 species
GGCGGGUGGGGGGUGGUGCCCAGGGCGAUGGGACAGUUUUCCUCCAGGAAGGUGGGGGCUAGGGCUGGGAGGCGACAUUGGGCGGUCAGGCUUCUGAGACAUUUUGAGGACCCAGUCACCAAUAUUUCCUGACACGUGGGACGUCCGCUUGGAGGGCCUCACAGUUGACUCCCAGGCUAUGGUCUAAGCAGCUGGGAGGAAGGGGUGCCCGGGGUUAGAGCUGGGGGUCUCUCUGGGCCGUGUUAAGCUUGGCUCGUCUGUUGGACACCCAGCAGAGGUGCUGAGUGAAGUCCGGGGCUCAGGAGGGCGCUCUGGGUUGGCGAUCUUGACGAUGGGGGCCGUGGAGAAAGGGACACAGGAAUGGCAUCCCACCAUUUCUGGCCAAGGGGAGCGUUCUGAGAAGCAGCUACCUCAGUCUUGAGAGAAACCAGGGGCUCAAUGUUCUCGCUCUUUCUUGCUCAGUGUGAACAAGGAAGCCCACGCUGCUUCUGGCAGCGGUCUUGUCCCCACGAGGGGCUCUGCUGAAGGAAGACGUCAAGGGGAGAGCGGGAUCCUUGAUUGGACGCAAGCAUGACCUCUGCACUUCCCAGCAGAAGCCCUCAUUGUGGAAGCUGGCCCUGCAGAGUUUCCUUCCCUGGAGCUAACAGUGUCCAGCCAAGACCGUCAGCAGGCAGACCACUGGGAUGUUGGGCGGAAGGAAGCCAGACCCGCGGCCCCACGCUCUGACCCUGCCGUUGGACGGUAUCCCGUCUCUGUCCGUCUGCACACCACGGGAAACUGUCUUCACCGCCGCUGCCCCGGGAACGGACAGUUUCCAGCCAGAGGGCCAGGAAAACAAGGCCUGCUCACACCUGGGAUUUUAGGUUGUUUCCAGUGUUUGUGGUAUCAGUUGUGCCUCCCGGAGCCCCUCGCGCCCGCGACCGCUCUGCCACCAGGCCAUUUUCUUAGGCCAGGUGCCCAGACAUGGGACUGCAGGGUCGGGUCACAGCCACGUCCACGGCUCCGGGUGCCAAGUGGCUGUCAGCAUCACGGCAGCCCCCUCCCGCCCGGCGCCUCCCCACCCCCAGCGGACAUGUCCCCUGGCAGCGCAGCCCAGUGCCCUCCGCGGGCUGGGCUGCGUUGUCAUCCCUCCCGCCUGUGUCGGUCAGCGGUUUUCCGAGGAGAGAACUGGGGCAGAGGCCCAGCAGAUAAACGUUGUUUAAAAUUUGGCUGAUAUUCUUGUUCUAUGCAGAUAGAAAGUAGGGAACCCAAUCGUAACCCACCACAGAAGGACUCCGUUGGUCCGGGUCUUCAGGUUUUUAUUCUAUGUUUUAAAUUUCUGUCAAAUUAGUUUUUUUUUUAACUUAAAGAAUGUGAG